rnacentral:rRNA from 1 species
UGAAUACGAGAUGCUACGGCGUCGAAGCAGUGUAUGUCAGACUUCCAAGAAAAGCUCGCAAUGUCAUAAAUAAAGAAUGCCUGUACCAUAACCGACACAGGUGGGUAGGUAGAGUAUACUAAGGGGCGCGAGAUAACUCUCUCUAAGGAACUCGGCAAAAUAACUCCGUAACUUCGGGAGAAGGAGUGCCUUCUUUAAGAAGGUUGCAAUAACAAGAUCCAAGCAACUGUUUAUCAAAAACACAGGUCUCCGCUAAGUCGUAAGACGAUGUAUGGGGGCUGACGCCUGCCCAGUGCCAGAAGGUUAAAGAAGUUGGUUAGCUUUUGCGAAGCUGAUGACUGAAGCCCUGGUGAACGGCGGCCGUAACAAUAACGGUCCUAAGGUAGCGAAAUUCCUUGUCGGGUAAGUUCGGACCCGCACGAAAGGCGUAAUGAUUUGGAUACUGUCUCGGAGAGGGACUCGGUGAAAUAGACUUGUCUGUGAAGAUGCGGACUACCUGCACCAGGACAGAAAGACCCUAUGAAGCUUUACUGUAACUUGAAAUUGAAAUUGGACUUUAUUUGCGCAGUAUAGGUGGAAGGCGUUGAAAGUAAUCUUGCGGGAUUAGUGGAGCCAUCAGUGAGAUACCACUCCUAUAAUGUUAGAUUUCUAACUUUGGAUCAUGAUCUGGUCAAAGAACAGUUUCAGGCGGGCAGUUUGACUGGGGCGGUCGCCUCCCAAAUGGUAACGGAGGCGUACAAAGGUUUCCUCUGAACGGGUAGAAAUCGUAUCUAGAGUGUAAAGGCAUAAGGAAGCUUGACUGUGAGACCUACAAGUCGAGCAGGGACGAAAGUCGGUCUUAGUGAUCUGACGGUGCUGAGUGGAAAGGCCGUCACUCAACGGAUAAAAGUUACUCUAGGAUAACAGGCUGAUCUCCCCCAAGAGUUCACAUCGACGGGGAGGUUUGGCACCUCGAUGUCGGCUCAUCGCAUCCUGGGGCGGUAGUACGUCCCAAGGGUUGGGCUGUUCGCCCAUGAAAGCGGUACGCGAGCUGGGUUCAGAACGUCGUGAGACAGUUCGGUCCAUAUCCGGUGUAGGCGUUAGAAUAUUGAGAGGAGCCUUCUUUAGUACGAGAGGACCGAGAAGGACAUACCUCUGGUGUACCAGUUAUCGUGCCAACGGUAAACGCUGGGUAGCUAUGUAUGGAGAGGAUAACCGCUGAAAGCAUCUAAGUGGGAAGCCCACCUCAAGAUGAGUAUUCUCAC